UGGAGUAUAGACAAAUUGGUAAAGUCACUGGACUUUGAAUCCAGGUUUUGCUGGUUCGAAUCCAGCUACUCCAG
rnacentral:tRNA from 1 species